CCUACGGGGGGCAGCAGUGGGGGAUAUUGCACAAUGGGGGGAACCCUGAUGCAGCGACGCCGCGUGGGUGAAGAAGCGCCUCGGCGCGUAAAGCCCUGUCAGCAGGGAAGCAAAUGACGGUACCUGACGAAGAAGCCCCGGCUAACUACGUGCCAGCAGACGCGGUAAUACGUAGGGGGCAAGCGUUAUCCGGAUUUACUGGGUGUAAAGGGGGCGCAGACGGCGAGGCAAGCCAGGAGUGAAAGCCCGGGGCCCCACCCCGGGACUGCCCUUGGAACUGCGUGGCUGGAGUGCAGGAGGGGCAGGCGGAAUGCGUGGUGUAGCGGUGAAAUGCGUAGAUAUCAGGAGGAACACCGGUGGCGAAGGCGGCCUGCUGGACUGCAACUGACGUUGAGGCCCGAAAGCGUGGGGAGCAAACAGGAUUAGAUACCCCGGUAGUC
rnacentral:rRNA from 1 species